CGUAGGUGGCAAGCGUUGUCCGGAUUAUUGGGUUUAAAGGGUGCGUAGGCGGUGAUUUAAGUCAGUGGUGAAAUACCUCAGCUUAACUGGAGAGGUGCCAUUGAUACUGGGUCACUUGAGUACUGAUGAGGUAGGCGGAAUGGACGGUGUAGCGGUGAAAUGCUUAGAUAUCGUCCAGAACACCGAUAGCGAAGGCAGCUUACUAAGGAGUAACUGACGCUGAGGCACGAAAGUGUGGGGAUCAAACAGGAUUAGAUACCCUGGUAGUCCACACUGUAAACGAUGAUCACUCGAUGUUGGCGAUACACAGCCAGCGUCUUAGCAAAAGCGAUAAGUGAUCCACCUGGGGAGUACGCCGGCAACGGUG
rnacentral:rRNA from 1 species